UUGUGAUACAGUGAGUUGUAAGUGAAAUAAUCUGUCUGUAAAUAAUUGUUGGAAAAAUGACUUGUGUCAUGCACAAAGUAGAUGUCCUAAACGACUUCCCAAGACUAUAGUUUGUUUACAAGAAAUUUGUGGAGUGGUUGAAAAACAAGUUGUAAUGACUCCAACCAAGUGUAUGUAAACUUCCGACUUCAACUAUAUACCAAUGGUUUACAUCUUGUGGUAAACCCUCUGUAUUUUCUCUGGUGAAGUCUAUUCUUGAUUGUUGACUUUGACACAGAUAUGCCUACCUCCUGGAGGGUGUUCUUGAUCUGGCCAACUGUUAUGAAGGGGUUUUUCUUCACUAGGGAAAGAAUUCUGUCAUCCACCACAGUUGUUUUCUGUGGUCUUUCGGGCCUUUUGGUUUUCCUGAGCUCACCAGUGCGUUCUUUCUUUUUAAGAAUAUACCAAAUAGUUGAUUUGGCCACACUUAAUAUUCUCGCUAUCUCUCUGAUGGGUUUGUUUUGAUUUUUCAGCCUAAUGAUGGCUUGCUUCAUUGGCAGUGACAGCUCUGGACUUCAUAUUGAGGAUUAACAGCAACAGAUUUCAAAUGCAAAUGCCACACUUGAAGUCAACUCUAGACCUUUUAUCUGCUUACUUGUAAAUUAACUAAUGAGUGAAUAACACACACCUGGCUUUGGAACAGCUGAGCAGCAAAUUGUCCAAUUACUUUUGGUCCCUUAAAAAGGUGUAUGCAAAUAGAUCAUACAAGUGGUUAGGCAUUUUCAACAAACAAAAUAUUUCUUAAAAGGUCUAGAAGAGUAGUAGUCAAUUUCUCCUCAACGCUCAAACAUGAAAGACUAUAGUGCAUGUUGUUAAUGUUAGUUUUGUGUGUGCAAUUAAGGGUAAGGCGUGCUGCUUUGUUUUGAGCCAAGCUGCAGCUUUGCUAGGUCUUUCUUUGCUGCACCCAACCACUUUACCAGACAGUAAUCAAGAUGGGACAAGAUUAAAGUUGAUCUUUGUGUCAAAAAUGCAGAACAUCUUUUUAUUACAGACUAUCAUUUUAUGUGUGCUCCCCAUUUUCACAACUUUGUCUAUAUGACUUGACCAUGACAACUGACCAUCCAAUGUUACUCCUAGGAGUUUAGCUUCUUCAAUAAGUUCAAUGGUCACACCCUUUAUGCACAACUCCACUUGAGGUUUUGUUGUAAGAGUACUUUGAACCAAAUAGAAUGAUUUUGGUUUUAGAUGCAUUGAAGACCUUUUUAUUGUCAAUUGCCCAUUCUGACACUGACUGUAAAUAAGAGUCUCAGUGAGCUUACUUGCUGUAAGUGCUGAUGUGUAGUGUGCAAUCAUCAGCACAUAGUCGUUUUAGCUUCUUGUAAGACAAGUGGCAAAUCAUUUGUAAAAACAGAGAAGAGUAACAGCGCAAGGCAACUGCCCUGAGGAGUACCGCACUGUACAUAUCUGAUGUUAGAGAAGCUUCUAUUGGAUAAGUAACUCUCCAACCAUGUGAUGUCAGGUGAUGUAAGGCCCUAACAAGUGAGUUUUUUUCAAUAAAAAAUGUGGAUAAAUAACAUCAAAGGCUGCACUGAAAUCUAGCAAUACAGCUCCAACUAUCAUCUUAUUAUCCAUUUACUUUUAGCCAAUCAUCAGUCAUCUGAGUCAGUGCAGUACAAGUUGACUGCCCUUCCCUACAGUAUAUGCAUGCUGAAAGUCAGUAGUGAACUUGUUCUUUAAUAUAAAAAAUAGCAUUGCUGAUGCCAUCUUUUUCUCCCUGUGUGAUGACAUUUCCUUUUCCUGUGCAGGUGGGCUCUCCCGUCAACAUGAGUCUCCUGCUGCUCCUGCCCCAAAUACACACACACACACACACACACACACACACACACACACACACACACACACACACUAUUAUGAAUGUUCCCCUAUUUACAUGUUUGUGUGUUCUGUGUCAGAAGUGAGCGAUGGUAAGCUUUGAGAAGAGGUUGUCUGGUGUGGGAAGAGGACAUACAGAAAGGAGAAGUACCUGUGGCAGCACUCGGAGCUCCACGCCAUGAUGGCCGACUUCUUGUAUAUCCUGUUACUACGAAAAACUGUGCGACAUCUUCAUGUUUGCCCGCAAGGACUUCUCCCCCUUUGCCUCCUGCCGACCCCUGGGGGGCACCUUCAACACCUCACCUUGAGGAGAUACUGGCUGUGUCUCAAUAGUCUAGUAGCUUCCUCUCACAGGCACUUCAGUGAGGACAAUACUCUUCUGGUUAGCACUUGUCACUAGUAUGUACAGAGGCCCUCAAGAUCAUCAAAUAUGAGUUAUUUGAUGUUUUGUAUGUUAUUUUGUGCUACUGUUUUUACUGUCUACUGUUUUUGUUUAUGUGAGCUGCACUAAAACACAUUCCAAUCAAUUCUGUUGAUAUGGCAAUCACAAGAGUUAGUUAUGUCCGUUGGUGUGAAUAAAAUAAAAUGUAUUGUAUUAUGUCA